GACGAACGCUGGCGGCGUGCUUAACACAUGCAAGUCGAACGGAAAGGCCCUGCUUUUGUGGGGUUCUCGAGUGGCGAACGGGUGAGUAACACGUGAGUAACCUGCCCUUGACUUUGGGAUAACUUCAGGAAACUGGGGCUAAUACCGGAUAGCAUCUCCUGCUGCAUGGUGGGGGUUGGAAAGUUUCGGCGGUUGGGGAUGGACUCGCGGCUUAUCAGCUUGUUGGUGGGGUAGUGGCUUACCAAGGCUUUGACGGGUAGCCGGCCUGAGAGGGUGACCGGCGACAUGGGGACUGAGAUACGGACCAGACUCGAACGGGAGGCAGCAGUGGGGAAUAUUGCACAAUGGGAGGAAGCGUGAUGCAGAAACGCCGCGUGCGGGAUGACGGCCUUCGGGUUGUAAACCGCUUUAGCCUGUGACGAAGCGUGAGUGACGGUAAUGGGUAAAGAAGCACCGGCUAACUACGUG
rnacentral:rRNA from 1 species